rnacentral:lncRNA from 1 species
CCUAGAUGUCAUUCAGUUUAUGCAUACAGCAUGGUAUCCAGUGCAGGCCUUCAGCAGAUUCAAACAUUUUUUAAUUGAGUAACUAGUUUACUCUGAGUUCAACAUACAGAAAUAGCUAAUCCUCCGGUUCUCAAAAUACGGAUCAUAUAUCCUGCGGCUCAGAAAAGGGAGUCCGGAAAUAGAGAGCAUGAGAAAACAUCUAAAGCAUCCAGAAAUCCUCUCCUGGACACCUUCCAAGAGGCAGCCUGAAUCAUCCUUCAGCCCCAGAGAAGGGGAAGCCAAUUUCAGGUGUUCAGAGGCUGAUCGAAGACUUGAGAUUGGCACAGCUUUUGAGGCCUGA